rnacentral:rRNA from 1 species
AGAGUUUGAUCAUGGCUCAGAAUCAACGCUGGCGGCGUGCCUAACACAUGCAAGUCGAACGAGAAAGUGGUAGCAAUACCAUGAGUAAAGUGGCGCACGGGUGAGUAACACGUGACUAACCUACCCUGGAGUGGGGGAUAACUGAGGGAAACCUUAGCUAAUACCGCAUAAUACCUACGGGUCAAAGGAGCAAUUCGCUUUGGGAGGGGGUCGCGGCCGAUUAGCUAGUUGGCGGGGUAAUGGCCCACCAAGGCAGUGAUCGGUAUCCGGCCUGAGAGGGCGCACGGACACAUUGGAACUGAAACACGGUCCAAACUCCUACGGGAGGCAGCAGUGGGGAAUUUUGCGCAAAGUGGGGGAAACCCUGACGCAGCAACGCCGCGUGGAGGAUGAAGUCCUUCGGGACGUAAACUCCUUUCGAUCGGGACGAUAAUGACGGUACCGGAAGAAGAAGCCCCGGCUAACUUCGUGCCAGCCGCCGC